rnacentral:rRNA from 1 species
UACGUAGGGUGCGAGCGUUGUCCGGAAUUAUUGGGCGUAAAGAGCUCGUAGGCGGCUUGUCGCGUCGGAUGUGAAAGCCCGGGGCUUAACUCCGGGUCUGCAUUCGAUACGGGCAGGCUAGAGUUCGGUAGGGGAGAUCGGAAUUCCUGGUGUAGCGGUGAAAUGCGCAGAUAUCAGGAGGAACACCGAUGGCGAAGGCAGAUCUCUGGGCCGUAACUGACGCUGAGGAGCGAAAGCGUGGGGAGCGAACAGG